GAUGAAGAACGCAGCGAAAUGCGAUACUUGGUGUGAAUUGCAGAAUCCCGUGAACCAUCGAGUCUUUGAACGCAAGUUGCGCCCGAAGCCACUAGGCCGAGGGCACGCCUGCCUGGGCGUCACACGUCGUUGCCCCCCACCAUCUACUCCUUCGGGAUUGCGGGGGGCGGAUGAUGGCCUCCCGUGCGCCUAGCCGCGCGGUUGGCAUAAAUACCAAGUCCUCGGCGACGCACGCCACGACAAUCGGUGGUUGCGAAACCUCGGUUGCCCGUCGUGUGCGUUCGUCGCGCAUCGAGGGCUCGAAAAAAUGCUCGGCUCCGGCUCGGCUUUCAACGCGACCCCAGGUCAGGCGGGGUUACCCGCUGAAUUUAAGCAUAUCAAUAACGGAGGA
rnacentral:misc_RNA from 1 species